UUCGAGGGUGGAAACCAGUGUUUCUGUGGCUAGUACAGACCUGCUCUUGCUUCCCCAUCACAGGGGGAGCGGGGCUUGUAUGGACCGAGGGUGUGGCGGUGUCAUCACAUGAAGCGUACAGCAUAGUUAAUCCAGCAUACCCUUAAUAGCAUGCAUAAUUGUGCUGCCUGGCAAUUAGGUGUAAAUGGUAAGCAGUUCACAUAAACGUUUUUGUAAUUGGUAUUAAUUUUGCAGAGGCAAACUAAGUUUAUGUGGUUUCCCUCUUCUUGCUCUGUUAGUUUUCUAGCACAGGCAAUUCCUAGCUCUUGGAGGAAUUCUAUUGCAAAUGUUUGUUUAUAGGGCCAUGUUUUGUAUUUUCUCUCAGAACAAUGUUAUGAAUGGUUAUGAGGUUCCCAAGCUGGUUUCCAAAUGCCUCUUUGGCCCGCACUUUAGGUGAAAUGUGUGAUGCAUGUGUGGGGAGGCCUCGCUGGGAAUCCUCCUGCUCCAGGUUCCCGGAGCCUCUGUGUGUGUGUGUGUGUGUGUGUGUGUGUGUGUGUGUGUGUGUGUGUGUGUGUGUGUGUGUGUGUGUGUGUGUGUGUCUGUUGUGCGCGUGUGCUCACGAGCGCGCAUACCGUGUCUUUCUGCGUGUGCCUGUGUGUGAGUCUGUGUCUCAGUGUGUGCCUGUGACACCUCAGGUGACGGUGGCAGGUUAAGGGUGCUGGUAAAGAUGUUAUUUAUUCUGGUUGCAAAGGCCUUUGCAGUUGGGGAUUAGGGGAAGCCUCGCAGCAUUAGCUGGGAGAGAGGACUCUGGGUCAGGCCACAGCAGCUGUGCAGGAGCCAUUCUUGGGCAUGGUGUGAAGUAGGAGUCUAGGUUUCCUAAGGACACCUCACCGGCCUUACUCCCUAAUUAAUAACAUUUUUUAAAAUGAAUAUUUAUUAAGUGCCUACCUUGCUCCAGGUAUCAUGUUGAACAUUUGAUUCAGAUUCUCUCAUAUCUUAAAACAGACUCAGGAGUCAGGGACUCUUAUUCACCCCACCCUACAGGUUGCUAAAGUGAGGCCCGUGUCUGCCAUGGCAGAAGGUAGGAGAAAGGAAACAAGGGAGCAGUGGGUGGUUCUGACAGCCGCAGACUCUUUCCCGCCUGCCCUGGGUGGGAAGGGGCCGUGCCCCAGCAGCGGCUCCUAGACCGUGAAGGCCCUCUGGGGGACCUCCUGGUUUGGGCCUGGGAGGAGUGUGACAAAGUGUGGGCGGGCAAGCAUCUAUCACAUGGGUGGUGUGGGGAGAGAAUGGUCACAGGCAAGCAGGGGACCAGCCUCUAAGGGCCUGAGUACAGGGAGGCCAGCUCCCCCUACUUCCCAUGGUUCACAGACACACUGACCCAGGCGCCUCCCAACCCCGUAUUCCCUGGACAUCUGGAGGCUGGUGGGGCCCUGCAGCAGGUGUACGCCCUGGCCUAGGGCAGGUGGAGCAGGAGUCUUCUUGGCACAGUGCCUUGGGGAGCUCUGCCAAGCGACCCCUAGAGUGGAGGUUGCGGGGGGUCGCUCUAGGCACCGCAGCACUGUGUGGGAUGUUGCAGCUGCCUUGGCAUCAAGGGUCGCCUGGAC
ensembl:lncRNA